rnacentral:lncRNA from 1 species
UACACUUCCAGCAAUUGAAUGCCUUGCCGGCGUAUCCGAGCAAGUGCACAUUGGCUUGAUUAACUAUAACAGUGAACGCUGAUGAAACAACUCAAGGUUUUGGAACAAAAACUAGAUAUCAUUUUACAUUUAUAACGUAUUCGAGCAGGUGCUCAUUGGCUUGAUUAACGAUAACAGUGAAGACUGAUGAAACAACUCAAGGUUUUGGAACAAAAACUAGAUAUCAUUUUACAUUUAUAACGUAUUCGAGCAGGUGCUCAUUGGCUUGAUUAACGAUAACAGUGAAGACUGAUGAAACAACUCAAGGUUUUGGAACAAAAACUAGAUAUCAUUUUACAUCGUCCAGAGCUGAUCGGAACUGAUAUAUAUAACUGAGUGUAAAGGAUUAAUGCUCAAGAUUGAAAACGUAUUCCGUCAAGCGCUGUAAUUUACUGGAAUCCAGUU